rnacentral:rRNA from 1 species
AACGAACGCUGGCGGCAGGCCUAACACAUGCAAGUCGAACGCCCCCUUCGGGGGGCGUGGCGCACGGGUGAGUAACGCGUGGGAAUCUGCCCUUUGGUCUGGAAUAACCCUGGGAAACUAGGGCUAAAACCGGAUAAGCCCCGCGAGGGGGAAAGUUUACGCCGAAGGAGGAGCCCGCGUCCGAUUAGCUAGUUGGUGAGGUAAGAGCUUACCAAGGCGACGAUCGGUAGCUGGUCUGAGAGGACGAUCAGCCACACUGGGACUGAGACACGGCCCAGACUCCUACGGGAGGCAGCAGUGGGGAAUAUUGGACAAUGGGCGCAAGCCUGAUCCAGCCAUGCCGCGUGAGUGAUGAAGGCCUUCGGGUUGUAAAGCUCUUUUGGCGGGGACGAUGAUGACGGUACCCGCAGAAUAAGCCCCGGCAAACUUCGUGCCAGCCGCCGCAGUAA